CUAAGCAUAUCAAUAAGCGGAGGAAAAGAAACUAACAAGGAUUCCCCUAGUAACUGCGAGUGAAGCGGGAAAAGCUCAAAUUUAAAAUCUAACAGUCUUUUGGCUGUUCGAGUUGUAAUCUAGAGAAGUGUUAUCUGCGCUAGACCGUGUACAAGUCUCCUGGAAUGGAGCGUCAUAGAGGGUGAGAAUCCCGUCUUUGACAUGGACUACUAGGGCUUUUGUAAUGCGCUCUCAAAGAGUCGAGUUGUUUGGGAAUGCAGCUCAAAAUGGGUGGUAAAUUCCAUCUAAAGCUAAAUAUUGGCGAGAGACCGAUAGUGAACAAGUACCGUGAGGGAAAGAUGAAAAGAACUUUGGAAAGAGAGUUAAAUAGUACGUGAAAUUGCUGAAAGGGAAACGCUUAAAGUCAGUCGCGUUGUCCAGGGAUCAGCCUUGCUUUUGCUUGGUGCAUUUUCUGGUUGAUGGGUCAGCAUCAAUUUUGACCAUUAGAAAAAGAUUAGGGGAAUGUGGCAUCUUUGGAUGUGUUAUAACCCUUGGUUGUAUACAAUGGUUGGGAUUGAGGAACUCAGCAUGCCGCAAGGCCAGGUUUUUUUAUUAAAAAACUAUGUACAUGCUUAGGAUGCUGGCAUAAUGGCUUUAAUCGACCCGUCUUGAAACACGGACCAAGGAGUCUAACAUGCCUGCAAGUGUUUGGGUGGAAAACCCGAGUGCGUAAUGAAAGUGAAAGUUGAGAUCCUUGUCGUGGGGAGCAUCGACGCCCGGACCAGACCUUUUGUGACGGAUCCGCGGUAGAGCAUGUAUGUUGGGACCCGAAAGAUGGUGAACUAUGCCUGAAUAGGGUGAAGCCAGAGGAAACUCUGGUGGAGGCUCGUAGCGAUUCUGACGUGCAAAUCGAUCGUCAAAUUUGGGUAUAGGGGCGAAAGACUAAUCGAACCAUCUAGUAGCUGGUUCCUGCCG
rnacentral:rRNA from 1 species